UUCGCCUCUUAUUGGCUAGAAAAGCUAGAAACGUCAUCACACGCUCAAGCCAAACAGUCAGCACUUAUAGCCAAUCAGAGGCGAUAAGAUAAGCACAUGAAACUAUGGUAACAACCGUUAGCUUACGUUAGCACAGAUGAAAGUUAAAACAAAGAUGUUUAUCAAACUGUUAAAGCACACAAACCAUCGUCAUAUGAGAAAUCCGACGCUAUGUUGUCCUUCAGGUCGUUAUCUUUGUAAUAUUUGUGUUUUUUCUCAUAAAGCACUCUGUUCUUCGACACGUAAACAAUCAACCGGUCGGCCAUGUUGGUGAAUUAGACGUUGCAACAACACGAAAUCUGAUUGGUCAGAAGUGGACACACAGUAUGCAAAACUUUAGAAAAAUCGACCAUGAUCCGAAAAAAUAAAUGCUGCAAUAUCGCAGGACGGGAAAACGUCGCUGAUGUGAACGCUUGUAUUGACAGGAGAGACAAUAAUGUCAACACAACAAUAAACAUUUUUUACCAGAAUGUUAUAAACCCCAGUAUGAGAUGAUCAGAAAUUCAAAUAGUUUCACAUUUUACAUGAGUAACUUUAAGUCUUUAAUGAUAUUUAGUGUUUUCCUGUUUAGGAAUCUGAUUUUUUUAAAGAUGUAUUUCAAGGAAAAAGUCCAUCUUAAACUCAGGUCAAUAAGUAGAUAAUUAGAUUUAAAAUAAGGCUUUAAGAUUACAUCAAAGGUAAAUGAGAGAUGAUAAUGAUUUUUCUACUCUGCCAGGUAUGACUUCAUCCCUCAAAACAUGGCCGCUGUCUUUGUAUUUCUUCAGGUUUUCACACUGAAUUUCUCUCUUUUUUUCUAAUCUCACCUCUAAAAUCACCUCAUGUCAGUUAAUAAAUCUAUUGAUCAAUCUCCUAGAGCUUGAUUCCCUCUGACAGCCGUGUGGUUCUACUCCCGGUGGACGUAAGCCGGCGCAAACACUCAACGUUUCAGGAAUCGGCUGACCUUAAAGAGAAGAUUUAACGUCUUUCUCGUCUUUUAAAGCUUUCCAGUAACACAGCGGUUUGGUGACGUCUUUGGUGUCGGUACAAUCAGCCGUGGAAAAUAGAUUCUCUUUAAAGAAUAUGACCCGAGAGUUAAUUAUUUAUGACGGCCAUAAAUGAUAAAUGCCGACAAGUGACACCGAAGCUGAGGAGAUGCUUUUAAACGGGUGUUUGAAAUCAAAAUCUCCACGUGUGAGCGCUCAACAGAGAGGUCUGAGACUGAACACCCUCCCUCCCCUCUCCUCUUCUCCCCCUGCCUCAUGUUUCAUUUAUUGUGCUGCACUGAAUUGAUCUCCUGCUGAGCAUUGAUUGCCGGUUUAGUGAAGGUAUUGAUGUAUUGAUACUUGAAGCUUCUAUUAUGAGCAUUCACCGCAGGCAAAGCGACGCCUUAAUCACUGUAAUCCUGUCCAAAUACACCUCGAGAUUUCCACGUUAAAAGUAGAGAUAUGCCGUAUUAAACACUGUCAUUUUUGUUUGAGUCGUGUGUUGAAUUGUGGGGUAUUUAUCGCAGAUCACUAGAGUUUUCUUCUUCGCGGGAACAGCUGGCAAUCAGUUGCAUCGGCGUGUGCCAACUCCUCUGGCUGUUUCUGCAGAGACCAACACGUAGCUCCUCCAUCUGCGGUUCCUCCACAGCGUUUCUGCCGAGCUCAGGUCAGGCGGCUCUUUGCACUGAAACCUACAGACUUGGAAUGAAAUAUUCAUCUGUAUGAAAAUGAAGGAUAACAUGAAGGCAGCUGGCAGGAGUCGAGCUGAAGACAGAACGAUUCCAUCUCCAUGAACAAUGCAGCAGAGAUUUAACCCGCGCCGUCUUCUCUCUCAGGAUGUUUUAAGAAGCUCAUACUGCAGGUUUUUUUCCCCAUUUUCACUAUAUUUAAAUCCUGAUGCACAAAACCGCAAAUGCUCAGAGUUAGAAGGUCAUUCGUGCAGGUUGAGCUGGCGCUUAGGGCAAAGCAUCAUCUGCUGAUGACACAAGGUCGAGUCUGUUGUGUUUUCUGGGUUGUGGGUUUGUUUUGCCGCUCGGUGCUGUGUGUUCAACUUUCAUUUUCAGUGGACAAAACUUCGCUCUGUAACACAUACUACACGCUACAUCGACUGAAUCUCAAUUUCCACCUCAAAUCUCAGCCUUGGGCCUUUAAAGACAUGAUAAUUGGGUUCUUUUCAACACAACAAGUGGCUUUAUAUCUCUAAUGUGUGCAUGUAAACAAAGAACUUCUAAUCUUGACUGAGUUCUGCACUGAAAGUCCGUCAGGUGAAAAUGCACAAAAACUAGCAUAGCACAGUAAAAGUAAUUUUCUACAUCCUUAAAGGUCCUUACACACUGGCAAAGACGCGAAAUUACGAAAUAUUUGGAGGCGAAUUUUGACGCACCUGACUAUACACAUCAAACCCGAUGCGAUUUUGCGACUUUCCGGGGGGAAAAAAGACACAUCCCGCGUGGAAGCGAGAGGACUGACACAACAGCAGACUGAGUGUUUUUCAGUUCUGAUUAGACACUAGUGUUGAGAUGUCUGUCUGUCAUGAUAGCAUGCACUGAGUCUGGGCCAGUACCAGAUAAGAACAUUAAACUAUAAUCCAUAAACGUAAGGUAACAACCGAGACCUAAUGUAGCUGUGACAGCAAGGUGAUUGAGUUUGAGACAGUGAAAAUACAUAUGGUAUGUUGUAUCUGAACAGGUUAGCUUACGAGCUAAAGUUACUUAGCACAGAUGAAAGUUAAAACAAAGAUGUUUAGCAAACUGUUAAAGCACACAAACCAUUGUCAUAUGAGAAAUCCGACGCUAUGACUCUCCACAAGUUGUCCUUCAGGUCGUUAUCUUUGUAAUAUUUUUGUUUUUUAUCAAAAAGCACUCUGUUCUCCGACACGUAAACAAUCAGCCGGUCGGCC